GACGAACGCUGGCGGCGUGCUUAACACAUGCAAGUCGAACGGAAAGGCCCUGCUUUUGUGGGGUGCUCGAGUGGCGAAAGGGUGAGUAACACGUGAGUAACCUGCCCUUGACUUUGGGAUAACUUCAGGAAACUGGGGCUAAUACCGGAUAGGAGCUCCUGCUGCAUGGUGGGGGUUGGAAAGUUUCGGCGGUUGGGGAUGGACUCGCGGCUUAUCAGCUUGUUGGUGGGGUAGUGGCUUACCAAGGCUUUGACGAGUAGCCGGCCUGAGAGGGUGACCGGCCACAUUGGGACUGAGAUACGGGCCAGACUCCUACGGGAGGCAGCAGUGGGGGAUAUUGCGCAAUGGGCGGAAGCCUGAUGCAGCAACGCCGCGUGCGAGAUGACGGCCUUCGGGUUGUAACCCGCUUUCGCCUGUGACGAAGCGUGAGUGACGGUAAUGGGUAAAGAAGCACCGGCUAACUACGUG
rnacentral:rRNA from 1 species